rnacentral:rRNA from 1 species
CCUACGGGAGGCAGCAGUGAGGAAUAUUGGUCAAUGGUCGGAAGCCUGAACCAGCCAAGUAGCGUGCAGGAUGACGGCCCUACGGGUUGUAAACUGCUUUUAUACGGGAAUAACGCGCCUUACGUGUAGGGCUUUGCAUGUACCGUAUGAAUAAGGACCGGCUAAUUCCGUUCCAGCAGCCGCGGUAAUACGGAAGGUCCGGGCGUUAUCCGGAUUUAUUGGGUUUAACGGGCGCGUAGGCCGAAGGUCAAGCGUGCUGUGAAAUUUCCGGGCUCAACCCGGGCCGUGCUGCGCGAACUGGCGUUCUUGAGACCGCGGAACGCAGGCGGAAUUCGUCGUGUAGCGGUGAAAUGCAUAGAUAUCACGAAGAACUCCGAUUGCGAAGGCAGCAUACCGGCGCCCAACUGACGCUCAUGCACGAAAGCGUGGGUAUCGAACAGGAUUAGAGACACCAGUAGUC